rnacentral:rRNA from 2 species
CUCGAAGAGUAGGGCGGGACACGUGGUAUCCUGUCUGAAUAUGGGGGGACCAUCCUCCAAGGCUAAAUACUCCUGACUGACCGAUAGUGAACCAGUACCGUGAGGGAAAGGCGAAAAGAACCCCGGCGAGGGGAGUGAAAAAGAACCUGAAACCGUGUACGUACAAGCAGUGGGAGCACCUUCGGGUGUGACUGCGUACCUUUUGUAUAAUGGGUCAGCGACUUAUAUUCUGUAGCAAGGUUAACCGUAUAGGGGAGCCGCAGGGAAACCGAGUCUUAACUGGGCGUUAAGUUGCAGGGUAUAGACCCGAAACCCGGUGAUCUAGCCAUGGGCAGGUUGAAGGUUGGGUAACACUAACUGGAGGACCGAACCGACUAAUGUUGAAAAAUUAGCGGAUGACUUGUGGCUGGGGGUGAAAGGCCAAUCAAACCGGGAGAUAGCUGGUUCUCCCCGAAAGCU